CCAUGAGUACACGCAACUAAGGAGAGCAGCUGACUCUUAAUCAGUGGGUCCUGGGUUCGAGUCCCCGAUGGUGCACCA
rnacentral:tRNA from 1 species